rnacentral:tRNA from 1 species
GGGGAUUUAGCUCAGUGGGAGAGCGCUUGCCUAGCAAGCACAAGGCCCUGGGUUCGGUCCCCAGCUCUG